GGGGGAGUAGCUCAGCGGAAAGAGCGUAGCGAACUUGCAUUCUGUGUUUGAAACCUAAAAACCUACGUCAGCGUGCUCGGUUCCUAAGGUCAUGGGUUCGAAUCCCAUCUCUCCUA